CGUAGUAUCUGGGGCGGCGGGGCGAGAGGCGCACCCGACCGUCGCGGUGGCCACGGAAGGGGAUUGGGAGGAGCGCUGGAGAGGCCGGGCCAGCGCCGCUCCACGGGCGCGCCCUCCAACCCAAAAUGACCGAAGCAGAGGCCCAAAGGGGGCUCGGGCGUCGUCUUCAACUUCUACUCGCCGUCGUCGGCGCAUCGAUCCUUCGCGCCCCACGCUGCCAGCUACCUGCGGCGGCCGCCCCACGCUGAUGUAGCGAUAGGUUUGCCCCUGUUUCGCUCAGUUUCCGUGCGGCCGCAGCAGGCAGAGCCAGCCGCCACGGGCGCUUCUCCGACGAAGCCGGUGCUCCCCGACCUCGACGACCCUGGUGAGAGCUCCUCCGUCCUCCUCUUUGCUGUCAUUUUUCGUCUCCUCUUUGUUUCCCUAGCCAAUGCGACCCUCUUCCUUCCCGGCCAUCGGCCGAUGCGUCGCGUGGCCACACAUGCUUUUGUCCCAGAGUCGACUCUGCCAUUGAAUUGCUGCCCACUGCGCCCAAAGGUACUGGAGAUGGAGAUGAGGUUGAGUUGGGAGAAGGGGAAAACGAGAUUGGGAUGGGAAGAAGUGUGGAUUGGGAGAAACGCUCCUGUUUUUUUGCUGAUGUUCUUGCUGACUUUGGUGAAGAACUGUAUAUUGGGGAAGAAUUGUUUCUGUUUUGUAUCUGUCUAUAUGGAAGUUUUCUGUAUCUCGAUCUUGGAGAGGAGCGCAAGUAUGAUUUCAUCACUGUGCUUUGCAAAGUUCUCCUAGGGAGAUUGAUUUCUGUGAAGUAACAGCAUUGCCAUUACUGAUUCUUUUUACUUAUUAUAAUGACACUAUCCGACUUGAAUGGUACCAAGUUCUUUGAAUAGUUACUGCACUAUCUGAAUUUUUUACUUACAAUGGCACAUAGUUCUUCAGAUAUCAUAAAUUGUUGCUAGACAUUGUCUAUAAAGUGUUAAUAUCAUCUGAAGGCAUAAAGUUAACUAGAUAGUUUGCUGUAUUAUCUGAACUUGUUUGAGCUAGAAAAAAAGUUGAAUAUUAAUAAAACAAAUUUUGUUCAGCUCCACAUACAUAGAUACAUGCAAUAAACAAAAAAUAUCACAAAUUUCAGUAUAUUUUUUUAUUGGAGAUACUUGCCUAUGCUUUUUAGUGUAAAAUUGAUAAAUGUGUAGUAAUUCAUACAAAAAUUUUAAAAAUACAAAAUAAAUUUUGUUCAGCUCCAUAUAUGUAGAUCCAUGCAGUAAACAAAAAAUAUCAUAAUUUUACUUUUUUUUUUGAUGAAGAUGUUUGCCUAUAUUUUUUAGUGUAAAAUUAAAAUUGUAGUUAUCUUGCUCUAAUUAUUAUAAAAAUUUUAUGGUGGCCUAUUUAAUGUGAUGUUUGAUUUAUGGUAAAAGUUUUAGCAUCAUUCCUGCAUAUCUUAUUGAUUUACUAAUUUGCCUAAAUUUACGCUUAAGGAUGCUUCCACUAUCUUUGUACAACUUUAAAUUUUAUAAAAAAGAUAAAUAUAAAUAGAUAUGUAACAUUAUGUUAUCACUUUUUAUAGCUAUUUAAUGUUUUUCUCCCGUUGCAACGUACGGGCAUAUUUGCUAGUCUUAUCUAAUUACGGGAUCUGAUCACGUUUGCUUGGGGGAGGGUGCAAAAGCCAGGCUUCCAUCCCUAUAUAAGGAUACGUACACCUCUUGCCAAAGGGACGCAUACGCGAACUGCUGCUCUUGAUCGUUGACGCACACGCCGCUGGGUUUUUGGCUCAACGCAUCCACACAUCCACCGAGGGAAAAACUUUCUUGUCCACGUUCAUACACAUACGUGUCGAGAUCGAGAUUUGUUGCUGCUUGUCGGCGAGAAGUUCAGCCACGUCGUACCUCUGCUCCUGCAAGUCCGCGCUGAAGCAACACCGGCGAGCUGCCCCUGCUCGUGCAAGUCCGCGAAACAACUCCGCGCCUGCGAGCAGCAAACAACUUGCUGAUUCUUGCAAUAGCAUCGUAUAUACAUGAUGCCAGCUGUCACGUUUUCUGGUGAGCAAUCAAUAUAGAUAUGAUAAUGGAUUCAUAUGAAUAUUAUAUUAUGCUAAGAGUUUUUUUUUUCUUUCGAUCUGUAAUCAUGAGAAGUCCAGCAACUUAAUAACAUCAGAACCCUGGCCGCGCGAGGUCAUGUCAAGUUGUUCAUGAAGUCGAGCAAUGAAAAAU
rnacentral:lncRNA from 1 species